GAUGAACGCUGGCGGCGUGCCUAAUACAUGCAAGUCGAGCGAACGGACGAGAAGCUUGCUUCUCUGAUGUUUGCGGCGGACGGAUGAGUAACUCGUGGAUACCCUACCUAUCUGCCUGGGAUAACUUCGGAACACCGGCGCCACUACCGGCUAAUCUUUUCAACCGCAUGGUUCCAACGUGACCGACGGUCUUGCUGUCACUUUUAGCUGGUUCGGCGCUGCAUUAGCUAGUUGGUAAGGUAACGGCUUACCAAGGCAACGAUGCAUAGCCGACCUGAGAGGGUGAUAGGCCACACUGGAACUGAGACACGGUCCAGACUCGUACGGGAGGCAGCAGUAGGGAAUCGUGCGCAAUGGGCGAAAGCCUGACGGAGCAACGCCGCGUGAGUGAUGAAGGUCUUCGGAUCGUAAAACGCUGUUAUUAGGGAAGAACAGAUGUGUGAGUACAGGUGCACAUCCUGACGGUACCCAAUCAGAAAGCCACGGCUAACUACGUG
rnacentral:rRNA from 1 species